rnacentral:rRNA from 1 species
GUCUUCUUGAAUUUAAUUUGAAGUCGGACCUGCCCAAUGAAUAUUAAAUGGCCGCGGUAUACUAACCGUGCAAAGGUAGCAUAAUCAUUAGUUUUUUAAUUGUAAACUGGAAUGAAUGGUUUAACGAGAAAUUAGCUGUCUCUUAAUAAUUAAUUGAACUUUAUCUUUAAGUAAAAAAACUUAAAUUUUAUUGAAAGACGAGAAGACCCUAUAGAGUUUAAUUAAAAAUUGAAUAAUUAAAAAUUUUUUAUUAACUUUUUAAUUUUAUUGGGGUGAUAAAAAAACUUAAAUAACUUCUUUUUUAUUAUUAUAUUUUUCUAUAAAUUUUUGAUCCAUUAAUUAUGAUCAUAAGAAUAAAUUACCUUAGGGAUAACAGCGUAAUUUAUUUUAAGAGUCCUAAUCGAAAAAGAAGUUUGCGACCUCGAUGUUGGAUUAAAAUUUAAUAAUAGUGAAGCAGCUAUUAUAAUAAGUCUGUUCGACUUUUAAAAUUUUUAAGUCUGUUCGACUUUUAAAAUUUUUAGUGAAGCAGCUAUUAUAAUAAGUCUGUUCGACUUUUAAAAUUUUUAAGUCUGUUCGACUUUUAAAAUUUU